UACGGGGGGGGGUAAGCGUUGUUCGGAAUUACUGGGCGUAAAGGGCUCGUAGGCGGCCAACUAAGUCAUACGUGAAUCCCUCAGCUUAACUGGGGAACUGCGUGUGAUACUGGAUGGCUUGGGAUUUGGGAGAGGGAUGCGGAAUUCCAGGUGUAGCGGUGAAAUGCGUAGAUACCUGGAGGAACACCGGUGGCGAAGGCGGCAUCCUGGACCGAGAUUGACGCUGAGGCGCGAAAGCUAGGGAGCAAACGGG
rnacentral:rRNA from 1 species